rnacentral:tRNA from 1 species
GCCCAGGUGGCGGAAUGGUAGACGCGCUCGUUUCAGGUGCGAGUGCCGCAAGGUGUGCAGGUUCGAGUCCUGUUCUGGGUA